GACGAACGCUGGCGGUGUGCUUAACACAUGCAAGUCGAACGAAGUGGCGAACGGGUGAGUAACGCGUAAUCAACCUGCCCUUCAGGGGGGGACAACAGUUGGAAACGACUGCUAAUACCGCAUACUGAAGGAGUGGAUUGCGUCUGAUUUGCUAGUUGGAGGGGUAACGGCCCACCAAGGCGAUGAUCAGUAGCCGGUGUGGAGAGGGGAACGGCCAAAUUGGGACUGGGGCAACGGCCAAAACUCCCAGGGAAGCAGCAGUGGGGGAACAUCCGCAAUGGGCGGAAGUCUGCAGGAGCCACGCCGGGGUGGUGAUGACGGCCUUCGGGUUGUAAAGCUCCGUUAAUCGGGACGCGGUACCGGAAGAGAAAGCCACGGCUAACUACGUGCCAGCAGCCGCGGUAAUAC
rnacentral:rRNA from 1 species